rnacentral:tRNA from 1 species
UCCGGGAUAGCUCAGUUGGUAGAGCGAUCGGCUGUUAACCGGUUGGUCCCUGGUUCGAGUCCAGGUCCCGGAG